rnacentral:rRNA from 1 species
UUUCCGGUUGAUCCUGCCGGAGGCCAUUGCUAUCGGAAUCCGAUUUAGCCAUGCUAGUCGCACGGGUUUAGACCCGUGGCGAACAGCUCAGUAACACGUGGCCAAACUGCCCUGUGGACGGGGAUAAUCUCGGGAAACUGAGGCUAAUCCCCGAUAGGGCUUCCAUCCUGGAGUGGAGGAAGUCCAAAAGUUGCGCUGCGGCACCACAGGAUGUGGCUGCGGCCGAUUAGGUAGACGGUGGGGUAACGGCCCACCGUGCCAGUAAUCGGUACGGGUGAUGAGAGUCAGAGCCCGGAGACGGUAUCUGAGACAAGAUACCGGGCCCUACGGGGCGCAGCAGGCGCGAAACCUUUACACUGCACGACAGUGCGAUAGGGGGAUUCCGAGUGCGAGGGCAUACAGUCCUCGCUUUUCUGGACCGUAAGGAGGUCCAAGAAUAAGGGCUGGGCAAGACCGGUGCCAGCCGCCGCGGUAAUACCGGCAGCCCGAGUGAUGGCCGAUAUUAUUGGGCCUAAAGCGUCCGUAGCU